GCCCUUAAUCCAACGUGACUGGUUUCCUUUAUAAAAAGAACUUUGGACUCAGUCAGGCACAUGGGAGGACACCACGUGAGUGUGAAGGCAGAGAUCAGGGUGAUAUCUACCAGCCAAGGCACGCCAAAAGCUUCCCAGCAAACCAGCAGGAGCUGGGGCACAGGCAGGUACAGAUUCUCCCUCCCAGCCUCAGGAGGAACCAGCCCCCCCUACACCGUGAUCUCAGACUUCCAGCUUCUCCAACAGGGAGAUGAUGCAUUCCCGUUGUUGAAGGCCCCUAGCUUGCGUUUCUUCUUUCCAGCAGCCCUAACUAAGGAGUGGAGACGAGAAAGCUUCUUUUAUUGAGCACCUGAGAACAUUCUUGAUAGGCCCCUCUCCGCCUUCAUCCUGGAAGAAACACGCAUGUCUUUCAGCGAAUGGACGGUGGCACCAGACAGAACGGAGUCGGAAUCCUGCCUUGGUGACUGCUUCUGCGCGAUGAGCAUUUGAGCCGCCCAGGUGACCUCACGGAGCUCUGUCUUGGGACGCCCAGUGUCUGCUUCAUAGCCUGACCAGGAGGGUGAGGAUCGUCUAUGUGAAUCACCGGAUAGCACUGCCCCUGCAUCAGAAUGCACUUGACAUGAUACAACCAUUCCCUUUCCUUGGCUCUCUGCCUCUUCCUAUUUUGCGUUUCUUGUUAUUCCUGCGGUCUCCCCAGGUAGGAACUAAUCACAUGUUGAGGGCAUCCUGAGACUGUUGUCCUGAACUCCCCCCAUCUCAUGAAACACUCGGAGUAUGUUUCUCCCUCCUUUUUUUUCAUGCUUCAGUUGGGUUUCUGGCAGACUCACAGCAGUCUUCAGCCAGGAGGCCGAUUCCCCGCGUUGACGUGGGCGCCAUCUCCUGGUCAUCUAAGGAAGUUUCCGUUCUAGACAUUGAAAGCAAGAGUCAACAGAUGCCUGCCCGGCUGGCCACCUCCUCUGUAGACAAAGCUGUAUUCACACACGACAGCCACAGCUCUCUGUCUGCAUGUGGUGUCCUGCGAUGCCGUCCCAAGUGACAUCAUCACACUCCGCGAUUGUUUUGGCACGGGACGGGAAGCCGGGUACCGCCCCUGGAGGUAGAAGCCCCUCUCCUGCUGCCAGGGUGGAGGCGGUCUUGGGAACCACAUGGCCAAGAAGUAUGGGCCUGGGGCCGCUGGUGAAAUCAGGCGGUCAGGAGCGGGUGGGACACAGGCGGGGGCGUUGAGAAAUUCCCUAUGAUCUUAUCUACAUGCAGCACACUGUGUGCACCUCUCCCCUCCGCCCACCCCCGGGCCUUGCUCUCCGCAGCUUGUUAGAGCUGCACUGUGCAGCUGUAUUUGUCUCUUCGACCGUGGCCAAGUUGAGGUUAUUUGGGUACCUGAGUCCCUUCUUCUUCAAUGUCCCUUGAAGUCAGCAGGCCACAUGGCACCGCGGUGCGCGCACAGCUUCCUGAUACAGAGAACAGGAAGACGUUUGCUCCUUUAUAUGCAAAUAAUAAGGGCCUACCAUCGCCUCACUCAUUAGCAGAAAGCUACUGAUGGAGAAGUAUUGCCAUCCGAGCCUCAAACGUUUGGUAAAAUGUUCUCAACGUUUAGCUGUUUUAUUCUUUGUCGCUCCUCCAGCCACUUAACUUCAUUCAGUUUGAUGUAAAUGUACGUUCCAGCAAUAAGUCAUCUUAGUUCUUACACCGUGAACUAGAAGGGACAAAGCAAGGCUUUCUACGGGCAUCUGCAACUGCAUUUUUGCUUAUGUGUUUGUUAAAUGGCUGAGGCCAGUUUUUGAUUAUGCUUACUUUUUUUUUUCCUAGGAUAAAAUCCUUACCUCCGAGACCGUGCCCCCUCCGGCUAUAGAUCAGCGCAUCCACACCCUGGUGUCAGUUCUUAUCUAUUCACAUGGAAACUUUGCUUUGCUUCUCCAGCCGGGGGCCUGUCUUCUGAGCUCCAGAACCAUCCAAACAUUAGACUGCCUACUCAGCGUCACCUCUGGAAUUUUGCAAACUCAACAUACUUAAAACCAUUUUCAUGCUUUUUUUCCCUUCCUUUCGUGCCCCCCGCCAGCCCCCUUCUCAUGCCUUACACACUAAACCUGUGUUCCGUAUUUCACCAGGAAGUGGCACAAGCCAAGAAACCGAGUAGGCUUCCCCACGCUGUCUUACAGCCACAUGUUCUUUUUAUUAUUAUUAUUAUUAAAUAUAAUUUAUUGUCAAACUGGUUGUCAUACAACACCCAGUGCUCAUCCCAACAGGUGCCCUCCUCGAUGCCCAUCACCCACUUUCCCCUCUCCCCCACCCCCCAUCAACCCUCAGUUUGUUCUCGGUAUUUAAGAGUCUCUUAUGGUCUGCCUCCUUCCCUGUCUGUAACUUUUUAUUUCCCCCCUUCCCCUCCCCCAUACAGCCACGUGUGUUCAAUUCGUGUACGAUUCCCUGUUCAUUUUAUUUUUUAUUUUUUAAGUUUAUUUAUUUAUUUUGAGAGAGAGACAGCAUGACUGGGGCGAGGGCCAGAGAGAGAGGGAGAGAGAGAGAAUCCCAAGCAGGCUCCGCACUGUCAGCGCAGAGUCCCACGUGGGAGUCGAACCCACCAACCAUGACAUCACAAUCUGAACCAAAAUCAAGAGUUGGACACUUAACUGACUGAGCCACCCAGGUGCCCCAUAUCCAUUGAUUUUAAUUCCCAGUUGACUUUUUUCCUCUCCAUCUUCAUGACCAUCACCCUAGUCCUAUCAUUUCCUGUUUUCUAAAUAUUAUUUUAUUUUAUUUACUUUUUUAUUUUUUAGAGAGAGAGAGAGUGAUAGAAGGAAGGGCAGAGGGGGAGACAGAGAGAGAAGGGGGGGGAUAGAGAGAGAGAGAGAGAGAGAAUCCCAAGUAGGCUUCAUGCCCAGCACAGAGCCCCAUGUGGGGCUUGAUCUCACAACUCUGGGAUCAUGACCAGAGUCAAAUAAUCUAUAAUUACUCAGUUGGUACUCAAUCAACUGAGCCACCCAGGUGCCCCUUAGAUAUAAUUUAAAUUUUAGCACAUAUUUUAAUUGGUAAUACAAAGAUAUAAAACCCCAAAUCAGAACGUAUAGAACAGUAUGCACUGAAAAAUCUCCUUCCUGCCAGUCCCCUAGCCAACCUGUUACUGUCCCCCAUGCAACUCAUGCUACCCAGUCCCUGCGUGUCCUUUGACACAGUGUAAAAUAUCCAAUUACUCUACUAUGCGUCUUGGUUUCUUUUAAUUAAAGAAUUUA